rnacentral:misc_RNA from 1 species
AGCUUGCUAUGAAAAUGGUACAAUAUAUGCUAAGAAAGCUGCCUCAGGACUCCAUUACCAACAAAUGCCUAUCUUAGCUGCCAAUGGUGUUAUCUUGCAGAAACACCUGAUGCUUGCAAAGAUAAAGUCAGAGAACUUUUGGUGUAUAUGUUAUCAAUUGAAGCUGAUGAUGAAUCAAGGUUGUUGAAUGCCUUAUAAUAGUGAUAAGGCCAUGUUGCUAUACAGUUGAAGAUGAUA